GUCAUCAUGGCCCNUACGAGUAGGGCUACACACGUGCUACAAUGGCGCNUACAAAGAGAAGCGACCUCGCGAGAGCAAGCGGACCUCAUAAAGUGCGUCGUAGUCCGGAUUGGAGUCUGCAACUCGACUCCAUGAAGUCGGAAUCGCUAGUAAUCGUAGAUCAGAAUGCUACGGUGAAUACGUUCCCGGGCCUUGUACACACCGCCCGUCACACCAUGGGAGUGGGUUGCAAAAGAAGUAGGUAGCUUAACCUUCGGGAGGGCGCUUACCACUUUGUGAUUCAUGACNGG
rnacentral:rRNA from 1 species